rnacentral:piRNA from 1 species
CUAAGAGAGACCAGAUGUAGAAUCCU